GACGAACCGUGCAAACGUUGUUCGGAAUCACUGGGCUUAAAGGGCGCGUAGGCGGAUCAUCAAGUCAGGGGUGAAAUCUUUCGGCUCAACCGGAAAAUUGCCUUUGAUACUGAUGGUCUUGAGGGAGGUAGGGGCAUGUGGAACUUCCGGUGGAGCGGUGAAAUGCGUUGAUAUCGGAAGGAACGCCGGUGGCGAAAGCGACGUGCUGGACCUCUUCUGACGCUGAGGCGCGAAAGCUAGGGGAG
rnacentral:rRNA from 1 species